GUUACCCACUCUUUCCUGGAGAUUCUCUCAUUUCUGUAUUUUCUAGAAGAUAGAAUCUUAGGUCCGAGAUGAUAUGGCCCCUCGUUCAGUUGUACCUUACUCUCUUUUCAUUCUACCCCUCGUUCAGUUGUACCUUACUCUCUUUUCAUUCUAUACUAUUCUAGAAAUGGGAAAUGGAAUUACAAGGAAACACUUUCGAGAGUCUCUUUCACCAAUGCUUAGGGAGAGCCGUUUUUAGCAGGUUUAUUGUUCCCUCAUAGGGCCUUUGAUGAGAACAAGAAAAUCUUAUUAUCCUUCUUAUAGGAAUUGGAGUCUAAGGUUUGACCUGACCUACCUGUGCCCAUUCUAUUGGACAAGUUGAGACAGGUUUUCUAGGACAGAAAGUAGAAGUAGGAGGUAAGAGGCUUUGCCAUUGGCAAUUGGGUGAAUCAGAGACUACAGUAUCCAAUUAUAGAUUGGUUAGCUACCGUUCUCUGGAAGAUAGCUAUGGGUGAUACCUUCGAUCAAUUAAGACCGCAGGCAGAUAGAGUGCUAUUCAUUCGACUUUACUAGUUCCACUGAUAGGUGUUCCUUAGUUGCUCUCAUAGUUUUGUGCACUCUUUGAUCGCUCCUCUGGCGGUAGUUCAGCCUUAGGCUCAAAUGUGUUCUCUAUUCCUUUAACGUAUAAGAAAAGAAGAAUAUAGAGGUCUAAUCGCUGGAUUACAUUUGUUGCUGGGCAGCCACUUGGCUAUGGAUCCUCUUGGCCUUUGUUUGCCCAUCAUCCCUUCUUAUAGUAUGGUAUUCGGCAGAGCAAGUGUAGUCGCAUCUUUCAGGAGUAUGCUAUCUUCGGGGAUGACGUGCAAAUUGCGGAUGCAAAAGUUGCCCCAGUCUAUGAAGAGUCUUUGUCUCGUAUUCUGGUUAAGAUAUCUAGAUCCAAAUCAUUGAUAUCUCACUCGGGUGCGGCUUAGUUUGUUUGCUAAGAGGUUGAUUGUCAAAAGUGUAGACCUUUCUCUGGUAUCUGCAAAAGGCAUUACUUGGAGCCGAUAUCUCCCUGUUUUGUCGCCGCUCAACGGUAUCCGAUCAAAAAGAAGGUAAAGUUCUCCACCUUUUUUCGUCUGGGAGGGAAAGGGUACAAGAAGCUAUCUAACAAGUUUACGCCUAACCCAACUGAACGAGACAAGCUCGAUGGGCUUUGGUGGCAUCAACUACAGUUUCCUUCCAGAGAAUUAUUGAUAGGUUAAAGGA
rnacentral:lncRNA from 1 species